rnacentral:lncRNA from 1 species
AAGAUGGAAGGACAGAAGGGAAAGCCAGUCUCCUUCCGAAUGUGGUUUCCCAGAGAAGCAGGAGCAGGUCUCUCAUCUUUUGCCUGCGGGUCCCUAGGUCACUGCGGAUCUCUAAGCCACACCCACGGACACCCAGGGAGGGCCAGAGGUGCUGCAUGAGGGGCCGCAGGGGCGAUCGCAUGACCAUCAACAUCCAGGAGCACAUGGCCAUCAACGUGUGCCCUGGACCCAUCAGGCCCAUCCGCCAGAUCUCCGACUACUUCCCUCGCAGGGGGCCAGGACCAGAGGGUGGCGGCGGCGGCAGGG